GGGUGAGGCGCGAGUCAGUGGGGAGCGUCUCGCCUUUGGGGAAAUAGCGGACUCUGAUUGACAGCUAAUUUGACCCUCGGUUGCGUGUGGAAGACAGGCGAACUGUUUCAUCAGGCAUCUGUUUGCAAGCAUCUACUUGGCGAAAGACAAUAAAAGAAGAACAGAUCAGCUCCUGGCAAUAGACUAAAUGUCAGCUGCUGGUCUUUGUAACAGCUGAUGCUGCAGAUAGAAGAGGAGACGAGGCCCAUCUGGAAGGAAAGCCACAUUAUUUGUGGGGAAAAUUAGAUAAAAGUGGCACUGGUGAAUCCUUAAGCUGAUAUCUAACCCGUCACUGAUGGUUGGCUGGAGGGAGACUGAGCGAUGGUGAAGAUCGAGUUGUAUGACGAUUGGCUGUAGGGUGGCCUUUGCUGUGUUUGAUCGCAGUCGGAGCUCUCGAGCACGAUGAGGAAGACCGCUGUGGUCCAUCUGGCCUGGUCUUUAAUCAGUGCUUCCCUUCAGAGAGGGGGCCACGCUUUCACUGUGCUGACCAGGCCAGCUUUUGCUAAGAGCAACCACAAGAUGAAUGUAGCUUAUUCAUUAUAUUAUUCAUUCCUCUACAACAAUGAAUAUCCAUAGUGGAUUUUAAUUAGUCUAUAGUGAAUUGUAAUAAUGGUGUGUUUUGGUGCCUAAAUAUGUAUGUUUUAAGUUUUGAAGGAAAGAAAAAACGUUGUCAUAGUUCUAAUAUGAAGCGAUGGAAAAAUAACUUAUAUAGUUAUAUAGUUUCUUAUAACUUAACUAUCUUAUACUAUUUAAAUUCUGCCAUUCACAACAUGUAUGACUACCAAAUAUAUACGAAUAUAGACACACUUAUUUAUACCUAAUAGGUCAAUAUUGUAAAUAUUCCCCUUGCAUACUAAACUAAAACUGUACCACUAGACUAACAAAUCUACAUGUUUCUGAUAUUCAUAUGACAAAUGGCAAUCAUGUAGUAGUUUUUUAAAGCUGCACCCAUAGAAUUUGGUAUGUCAUUUUUAGCUCAUUGAUAUUAUAUGUACAACUCAUAUCUCUGGGGUAAAAUCGAACAGAAAUGUGCCAUCGAUCUCUCUUUUUUCCUUUCCUCGUUCCCCCUGUUCCCCCACCUAUCUUUUCUUGUUUGUAGAUACUCCAUCACCUUGUCUUUCUGAGCCCUGGGAAAAGCAUCGUCAGUAUUUCUGCACCAUUCCCCUCCAUCCAUGCUGUCUUUCUCCCAGAAUUCAUGGUGCCUUACUUAUUCAGAGCAGACGAGAGAAAGGCAAGAGAAAGGAAAAGAUUCAGAAAGAGAAAAAGAUACAAGAGCCGCUAGCUGUAGACAGAAGGAAUGCCUUAAGAAGCAAUUAGCAUAUGUAACUUCUUUUUCCCCCCUCUGCCUGAAACAGGGUUAUUUCAGUGAGUUUGUAUUGAUGUUUUUGAACAGGCUCCAUGGCAGAGCAUUUAAUGCUGAACACUGCUGUUAGAGAGAAUGCAUUAUUAAUGUGAGGGGAAACUAACGGGGACCAGCAGCUCCUUGGGGCUGUGAAGAGGACGGUUGACGUCUCUGAGGAAGCAACACCACGCCUCAAAGGUCUUCCUCGAAAUCACAGCCCUGAAACUCCAGAUGAAGACUAGACCUUUAUUCUGUACGCAGAGAGAGCUGUCUUUUCAAAGAAAAAAGGUGAGAGCUUUCAAGACCUCCAAUCUUCAUCAACACCUAGUCCCUGUGAAAUCAUCAAAAAGUAAAGGCAGUGAAAAAGAAUCACAUUUUUCCAUACUGACUCGGGGCUCAGAGAUUCAGUAGUGACUGUCGUCCCUGGAGGAAGUGUCUUCCACUACAUAGGCACAGGGGCCAGAUGUCACUUGUCCUCCCAGCCGAGGGGAGCUCUGGUGGGGCUAAGACUCAACUGAGGCAGGCUGCCCUGGUUCUCUCUUUGCCUGGCUGGAGACACCUGCUCUUCGCCUCAAUGGUGACGGCCCCCAAUGGGGCUUUUUUCAUCUACUUUAACAUGCACGAGCAUCCUGAAAUGCUGCGGGUGUGCAAGUGCGUAUAUGUAAGUGAGGUGUGUGUCAUAUUUAUGUGACUGAGAUUCACUCACACGCACGCUUGUCGACAAUACGAAAUUAAUUUCAUUACAUUUGUUUCUUAAUAUGUGCUCUCAUCCUCUUUCCCUGCUUAACCUGAAAACUGUGAGCGUUUAUGGCUCUGCAGCCAGAUUGCUUGAGCUAAUACAUCCUUAGACACGUUUCAGAGGAUGUCUAGGGUCCCAUGUGUAUUGUAGCUUGGGUUUGCCUCUUUAGUUAGACCCAAACUCAGUAGUCAUCCAGGCCAUUAUUGCAGUCAAUUCAUGAGAAUACGUUUGUGCUGUUUUAUAUUGGAUAGAUAGAUAGAUAAUGCCACUGAUUAUGUGGUACUACUGAAACACAAAAAAAAUUAUCUAAUUGCAGUUCCAUUUGCUUUCAGUUGUUUUUCGUAUUUCAUGUUUUUUUUUACAGACAAUCAUUUUAAUGUCAUCCAUCAGAUUAUGUAAAAACAACAAUGAUGUUUACUUUGGUAUUCAAAAAAUUUGGAAUAUGUUGUUUAGUUUCUCUUUCACUUCUAUUUACAAUUCAUAUGAGCUCAGAGCAUCACCAUAAUGCUCACACAGUAUUUGGAUGCAGUCCUGUGCAACAUUUGGUGUAUGUCUAUUAAAACAGGUGGUCCUGCAUCACUAGUUUACGGAACAGGAGUCUCUGUUUCUGCACUCUGUCAUUUACACAUGCACACACACAUACACACUUGUGUUUGAGCAGUGAAAGGUGGCUAAUUCUCUCACGAAUACCUUGUGCGUGUGCGCUCAGUGACCGUUGAGUGACCCACAGGUUAAAUAGCUCAUUCUUGCGGCCUUUUCUUCCAAAAUGGCAAAGUGCCCUGACAAUAGCGGCGGCCUCUGAAGCUGAAGCCAUUUUCACGCUAGCACAGAAUCACGGACUGAGGCUUCUUGACAGAGCUGUUGGAAAUUAAAUUUGGACAGAAUAUUGAUGGGAAGUACUUAAAAUUCUCAGCAGUGAGAAUAAAGUGCUAGUGUCAUAUUUGGUUUAACAAAGUAGCUUUU